ensembl:misc_RNA Metazoa_SRP Metazoan signal recognition particle RNA
GCCGGGCAUGGUGGCGCAUGCCUGUAAUCCCAGCUACUUGGGAGGCUGAGGCAGGAGAAUUGCUUGCACCCGGGAGGUGGAGGUUGCAGUGAGCCGAGAUCGUGCCACUGCAUUCCAGCCUGGGCAACAGAGCGAGACUCUGUCUCAA